rnacentral:rRNA from 1 species
CGCAGCCUGAUGCARCGACGCCGCGUGAGGGAUGACGGCCUUCGGGUUGUAAACCUCUUUCAGCAGGGAAGAAGCGAAAGUGACGGUACCUGCAGAAGAAGCGCCGGCUAACUACGUGCCAGCAGCCGCGGUAAUACGUAGGGCGCGAGCGUUGUCCGGAAUUAUUGGGCGUAAAGAGCUUGUAGGCGGUUUGUCGCGUCUGCUGUGAAAGCCCGGGGCUUAACCCCGGGUUUGCAGUGGGUACGGGCUAACUAGAGUGCAGUAGGGGAGACUGGAAUUCCUGGUGUAGCGGUGAAAUGCGCAGAUAUCAGGAGGAACACCAAUGGCGAAGGCAGGUCUCUGGGCUGUAACUGACGCUGAGAAGCGAAAGCAUGGGGAGCAAACAGGAUUAGAUACCCUGGUAGUCCAUGCCGUAAACGUUGGGCACUAGGUGUGGGGGGCAUUCCACGUUUUCCGCGCCGUAGCUAACGCAUUAAGUGCCCCGCCYGSGGAGUACGGCCGCAAGGCUAAAACUCAAAGAAAUUGACGGGGGCCCGCACAAGCGGCGGAGCAUGCGGAUUAAUUCGAUGCAACGCGAAGAACCUUACCAAGGCUUGACAUAUACUGGACCGCUCUAAAGAUAGAGUUUCCCUUUGGGCUGGUAUACAGGUGGUGCAUGGSUUGUCGUCAGCUCGUGUCG